rnacentral:rRNA from 1 species
GACAGAGGUCCCAAGCGUUGUUCGGAUUUAUUGGGCGUAAAGGGCGCGUAGGCGGCCGGGCCAGUCCGGCGUGAAAGCCCGCAGCUUAACUGCGGAAGGGCGUCGGAUACUACCUGGCUCGAGGAUUGGAGAGGGGACUGGAAUUCCCGGUGUAGCGGUGAAAUGCAUAGAUAUCGGGAAGAACGCCAGUGGCGAAGGCGAGUCCCUGGACAACUCCUGACGCUGAGGCGCGAAAGCUAGGGGAG